GAUUGAUCUCGGUAUCUGAAUGUGAUGAUUGAAAAUCUCGGUACGAUCUCAGAAAUCUCCAACACCUUCGAAAUUGCUCUGAUCGCCUUCGAAAUUUCUCUGAUGCUCUCUCGAGUCUAAUCGCUCUGAUGCUCUCUCAAGUCUGUGUUUGUGGGAAAAGAGUCAAAAGACUGAUGCUCUCUCUCGAGUUGUUUUUGUUUUGUUUUUAUAUAGUGGGAAAAUCUCUAAACUCUCUAAAAUUAGUAAACCCUCCAGUUCCAGUAGAGGCUUUCACUUUUUCCUUUUUUUGUUCUUUCUUUUUUCUUUUGAGAUCGAGGUUAUAUCCUCUUUCUCCAGAUGCAGCUCGGAAGAGAGCUCCGUUUGGUUCCUGUCCCUGCGAGAUUCGUUCUGAGGCAGAACAUGUUUGGUUUUGAAGGAGAUAUUUAAGUAUCAUCGAUGCCGUAGCUUACAAUUCCAUAAUUGCUGCCGCUCUUUAGUUUCUGCUCCUUCUCCUACUUAUAGAGAUAAAUUUUUCAGGAGGAUUGGAAAAAAAGAAAAAAACGUGACUUCCUUCAGAGCCUCAGCAGAACCUAAAACGAAUUUGAUUGAUACAAGAGGAGAGGCUCAUGCUGGUCAACUAGUGCCGGUGGCUUCAAGUCCUCGAGUUUCCUCAACACCAGGUAAAGAACUUGUGGCUCUGGCUAACAUACCCAUUCAUGAGAAAAAAAAGCAUACGUCUAUAGAGAGGUUGUGAAGAAUCUUAACACUUCAAGAGAACGAGGCUUUCCAUUUCGACCUGCUAUGUGUUUUAAGGACGCUUGUGUUACUCUUGGUGCUGAGGUUACUCGCGGAAAAUCUGUCAACAUGAAGAAAAUAUGGCAGCUUCUUCAGGCAAUAUUCAGCAGUUCAACUGGGUGUUCCGAAGAGGAUGUCCCUCACCUUAGGUGCAAGACGUCAAUAACAAUUCGGGCAUGAAAAUUUUAUAAUGGACACAAUUCAGAGUCACUUGACACAAGCUGCUCUUGGUGGCUCUGUUGGAAAUUUGCAAAGAAUUUGUGCCUCCUUUCGGCUCCGAACAAAGGCUACAAGAACAAGUUUAUGAAGAAUUGGAGACUGAGUGGUGAGGGUAUCAACAGCCUGAGUUUCGCGGAGCUGCGAUCCCUUGAAACACAGUUAAGCCAAGGCUUGCUCUGCGUGGAAGACCAACUAGCAAAGAAGACACUAAAGCUGGAGGAAGAUGAAAGACUGCUCAUGCAGGAGGCAGGGGAAGGAGAAGGUUUGUGCAGAGAAAGGAGAGCUUGGCGAGAAAGUUCCGGAUCAGUUCCAGCAGAUGAAGACGAGUCCUUCAGGUCUCAGAAUAUCUCACGUGUUUGGACAAUGUACCUGACACUGAUGGAUCAAUCCGUGCCAUGAGAUCCAAGAUUGCUGGGUUUCUUGCAAGCAACACUCACCGGAACUGGCCCCGUGACUUGUACGAGAAGGUGGCUCGAUGCUUAUGAAUAUUUUUGGGCUUAUCGUCCAAGUUCUCGACCCUGAUUCUGCUAUCCUCAGUAGCUUUCACCUCGUGCUUAUAAAAUGGAUAUAUUAAUAUGUGCCUUUUUUUUUGCUAAGCAGAUUAAUAUGUGCCUUUAUUAGACAAGGAUACGUAUUGUCACAUUAGUUUAUAAAGGAUUCAAAAGUCAAAACCUUUUGAAAUCUCACCUUAAACUUGAAACAUUAUGCAAUUUAUGACUUCUUAGUAAA